rnacentral:tRNA from 1 species
GCAUUGGUGGUUCAGUGAUAGAAUUCUUGCCUGCCACGUGGGAGGUCCAGGUUCGUUCCCCGGCCAAUCCA